AGCCGAGCGGUAUUGUUUCUUCGGAAAUGAGAGAGCGGCGUACGGGCUGCGGAACACGUGUGCAACCUGCCUUUAUCUGGGGGAUAGCCUUUCGAAAGGAAGAUUAAUACUCCAUAAUAUAUUGAACGGCAUCGUUUAAUAUUGAAAGCUCCGGCGGAUAGAGAUGGGCACGCGCAAGAUUAGCUAGUUGGUGAGGUAACGGCUCACCAAGGCGAUGAUCUUUAGGGGGCCUGAGAGGGUGAUCCCCCACACUGGUACUGAGACACGGACCAGACUCCUACGGGAGGCAGCAGUGAGGAAUAUUGGUCAAUGGGUGCAAGCCUGAACCAGCCAUCCCGCGUGAAGGACGACUGCCCUAUGGGUUGUAAACUUCUUUUGUAUAGGGAUAAACCUACCCUCGUGAGGGUAGCUGAAGGUACUAUACGAAUAAGCACCGGCUAACUCCGUGCCAGCAGCCGCGGUAAUACGGAGGGUGCAAGCGUUAUCCGGAUUUAUUGGGUUUAAAGGGCCCGUAGGCGGACUUAUAAGUCAGUGGUGAAAGCCUGUCGCUUAACGAUAGAACUGCCAUUGAUACUGUAAGUCUUGAGUAUAUUUGAGGUAGCUGGAAUAAGUAGUGUAGCGGUGAAAUGCAUAGAUAUUACUUAAACACCAAUUGCGAAGGCAGGUUACCAAGAUAUAACUGACGCUGAGGGACGA
rnacentral:rRNA from 1 species